rnacentral:lncRNA from 1 species
ACCAAAGGAGCCUAGAACCUCGGUAGCGAUCCAUAUUGGUGUGGAAUGCUGAAAAACCAUAGGAAAACAAAAUUGCCAGGAGAAAAAUUUGGAAUGCAGGAACUGUGUCGAUUCUGGUCAAGGUAAUGUUGCCAGCAGAUGGUAGUUAUGCUGAUUUUCAGUUUUGAACAGGUAACAGUAAUACUCAAUCCACAAUUCGCAGUGCAGAUAAAACCAUGCUCCAUUUGUUGCCCAGUUAAAGAAUUUGAGCCACUUACUAUAAAGGAUUGCUUGUCGUCGCAGGAACCGCCGCCAUCGAUAGAGAGCUCCUCCCGUGUGGAUCCAUCACCGAGGGGUGCCACCGCCUAGAUCCUGCGCCAGAAGCCCACGAGGUGGUGAAGGACGCCGGAGGUGGUGGAGGUUGCCGCGGGCGCACCACUAGAGGAGAGGGAGGGACGCGCCGUCGCACCUGGAUCUGGUCGAGCAAGGCCGCAUGCGCGCUGCCCUGGAUCCACCAUGCACGAAGUGCCCCAUACGCCCUGGAUCCGCGCGGCCCGUGCUCAUUGAGGCAGAGGGUGGGAGGGAGCGCGACGAGGAAGAUGGAGGGGGCGCCGCCGGGAGCCACCACCUCCGCCCCGGCUUUGAAGUUGGGGAGGGCCUCUGCAAGCGGAUACGAAGGGGAGGAGGGGGCAUCGGAGGGAAGGGGAGGGGAGGGAGGGGAGGGGCGGUCGGAUUUUGCGAGGAGGGGAAGGGGAGGGGGUGGUCGUGUUUUGCAAAGAGGGGAAGAGAAGGGCCUCGGGCGUCUGG